rnacentral:rRNA from 1 species
AGAACGAACGCUGGCGGCAUGCCUAACACAUGCAAGUCGGACGCUUCAUGGGUUUCGGCUCAUGGGGAGUGGCGCACGGGUGAGUAGCGCGUGGGAACCUGUCCUUUAGUGGGGGAUAACCGAGGGAACUUCGGCUAAUACCGCAUGCGCCCCGGGGGCGACCUUGGGGGAAAGAUUUAUCGCUGAGGGAGGGGCCCGCGUCGGAUUAGGUAGUUGGUGGGGUAACGGCCCACCAAGCCUGUGAUCCGUAGCUGGUCUGAGAGGAUGAUCAGCCACACUGGGACUGAGACACGGCCCAGACUCCUACGGGAGGCAGCAGUGGGGAAUAUUGGACAAUGGGCGCAAGCCUGAUCCAGCAAUGCCGCGUGAGUGAUGAAGGCCCUAGGGUUGUAAAGCUCUUUUGUGCGGGAAGAUAAUGACGGUACCGCAAGAAUAAGCCCCGGCUAACUUCGUGCCAGCAGCCGCGGU